GACGAACGCUGGCGGCGUGCUUAACACAUGCAAGUCGAACGGAAAGGCCCUGCUUUUGUGGGGUGCUCGAGUGGCGAACGGGUGAGUAACACGUGAGUAACCUGCCCUUGACUUUGGGAUAACUUCAGGAAACUGGGGCUACUACCGGAUAGGAGCUCCUGCUGCAUUGUGGGGGUUGGAACGUUUCGGCGGUUGGGGAUGGACUCGCGGCUUAUCAGCUUGUUGGUGGGGUGGUGGCUUACCAAGGCUUUGACGGGUAGACGGCCUGAGAGGGUGACCGGCCACAUUGGGACUGAGAGACGGCCCAGACGCCAACGGGAGGCAGCAGUGGGGAGUAUUGCACAAUGGGCGGAAGCCUGAUGCAGCAACGCCGCGUGCGGGAUGACGGCCUUCGGGUUGUAAACCGCUUUCGCCUGUGACGAAGCGUGAGUGACGGUAAUGGGUAAAGAAGCACCGGCUAACUACGUG
rnacentral:rRNA from 1 species